rnacentral:rRNA from 1 species
UACGUAGGGUGCGAGCGUUGCCCGGAUUUAUUGGGCGUAAAGGGCGCGUAGGCGGCGUGUCAAGUCGAUUGUGAAAUCUCCGGGCUUAACUCGGAACGGCCAAUCGAUACUGACGUGCUAGAGUGCAGAAAGGGCAAUCGGAAUUCUUGGUGUAGCGGUGAAAUGCGUAGAUAUCAAGAGGAACACCUGAGGCGAAGGCGGGUUGCUAGGCUGACACUGACGCUGAGUGCGCGAAAGCCAGGGGAGCAAACGGG